CUAAGGGUUUAGUUCUGGGUCUUUGUUGAGACGAGCCAUCUGCGGAGCGUCCGAUGCAAAAAAAAUAGCCUGGGACGCCAUUGAGAAGAAUGAGCAAGGGCAUUUCUCUUUUCCUCAUACAAUUACGAGUAUUCCUGCCACGGAUAUGGCAGUGAUCCAACGAAAACAGAAAGCGAGGGAAUAUGUCUUUUUUAGGUCUCCUCAGGCAAUAAUGGGACAUUCUGUUUUAGGGAGCGUCUGUAAAGGACACAGUCCAGCAACAGGCGUAAGAGGUCAUGGGCAAAACAAAGUACAACAGUAGUACAGUUAAAAUGAAAUUAAUCUUCAACAAAACGCCGUAGUAACAAAGGUUUCUGGUGCUGAUCCUCGCCUCAAGGGACUGAUCAGUCCUUACCUAAUCCAGGAAUGAUUGAAGUGAUAGUAUUUUGAUUAUGUGCCAUCAAGUGGUUUUCGAUUCCCAGCGACCACAUAGAUAGAUUUUCUCCAGGAAUGAUGAUGAUUAAUAAUGAGUAGAGUAUUAGAGCACUGUAAAAUUGCAAAGGUUCUUGGACUAGCAUAGCAUAGAAUAACCUAGUCUUUUUUAGUAACCCUGGGUCUAGGAUGUACUUUCGGUUUUUUGGCUUAUAUAUUUUCUUUGAGGAUACAAUAAAUUUAUGUUGUGAAGAUGGCACAAGUAAUGUUUAUAAUCCAGCAAAAAUUAAAUAAUGGGAUUUUAAGUCCCAUUUAUUAAAGUCAUGGAUGCAAAUUUCUCCAUCAACAAAUUCAUUCCAGUUAGCAUUUGGACCGUAAACUGUGUUCUUUAAAAAAACCUGAAUUUUAAAGAUUGCCAGCUCUGUUAUAGAUUGAUAUAAAGACUAUCUGGAACCCUGUUCUGAAGGAAUUUGUACUCCCUUAAUGCUUUGGUAGGAGGUUCUCCAUGUGCAUGUAGACAAUCCUGGAUUUCUGAAUAGGAAAAAGCAGGAAAGCUUUGGAGUGGAAGUAGUGUGAGACCAGAUGAAGCCAUUCUGGAUUGCUGUCCUGUUAACUGGAGUGGAAUAUCCCCUCAUAUGUGUCUGUCUCUUCCUUUCUAAUCUUGUGUGUGUGGUAUUUGCAGAUACAGUAUCCUGAUCUGUUUUCUAAUAUAAAGGGAUGAUUAGAGGUUGAAGAAUCUGCACUGACUUCUCCACAGAACUUUUAUCAUGAAUAGUAAAGGUAUUUCUUUGGUCUCUGUACACAAAGCGGGAAAAACAGGAAAAAAAGAAGGAAAUCACUAUUUUAUGCCAGUUGCCUUUUGAAAGACAAAAGUACAGGGAGGUCGUUGCACAAUUACUUUUUGUGUUAUUCAUUACUCUGUUUUGGAAAUUUUCUCUGCUAAAUUAAUUUUAAUUAUGGCAUUCUCAAUUUAUGAGCAAUGAAUUAAAUCUAGCAUUUGGGCUCUUUAAUUCAAAAAUACAUAUCCAGUUGGGUUUCCAGAUCACAAGAUUGAAUUAAGAGGUGGUUUUGUGAUUUGUAAAUGAACUGAAAAAAGCAGGGCCCCAAUAUGUUAAGACACUAGCACCAGAAAUCAUGAGACAGAUUAAUUAGUUUUAAUCGAUUGUUGUAAACUGCCCAGAGUCCCCCAACAGGAGGAGAUGGGCGGGGAUAAAUUAGAUAGAUAAAAUAAAUAAAUAAUCAUUUUUCUCUCUGUCAUAGGGUUGUUCACUUUUCUCUCUUAAGGGAGGAUGAAUUUAAUUUCAAUGUCAGAUGCUUCCACCUGCAAUGUUAAAGUUCUGUGACAAAAAUCAAUAUUUUUUAUGUCUGUCUUUACAAGGAUGAGGUUUUGAAAAUUGUUCAACCUGAUAGGAAUGCUCCUACUUCAAAUGUGCAGGUACAAAUGCUGAUCAAGGUGAAAUGGCCUUACAUCAUGAGGAAUACUGGCUUCCCUAGGGUUCUGCGAGAGGUGACUAGGGGUUCCCUGGGAGAUCAUGCUUUAUUUAAAAAAUUAUUUCAAAUUUGGGCAACUUCACAUUAAAGAGGUCGUCCAGAAGGAUUACCAUGGUUGACGGUAUGGAAGGCUGCUGAGAUUUAAAUGGACAAGAAGGGCUGCACUCCAUCCAGCCAGGUCCCAUCAUAGAUCAUCCACAAGAAUGACCAAUGAAGUUUCUGUCCCAUGAAGCCAGGCUGGCAAGGAUUCAAAUAAUUGUACUGUUGCAUUUUGUCUCACUGGUUUUGUGAGCUGCUUUCAACAUCAGACUGAACUGCUGGAAUCGCUGGUGCAGAUACAAUCUGCUGAAUCGAUUCUAAUCUCCAUGGCCCCUUCAUGGCCAUGUUCUGCAAUCUCUUCUCCCUCUCACUCAGGGGCCCCCAGGCAGGUACUGUUUCCCAGGAUCAACCUCAGGAGAAAGCCACAGAAGUACAGCCCUUAAUUAUCCUAUUGCACUGUGGCUUCUGAUAAUCCUUUUCUUGAUGGUGGUUUUUUUCCUUCUCCGUUCUUUUCCAUUUUGUACCAUACUUCUGAAACUAAUAUAUAAGCUUUACACUCUCCAUUCCCCAGCCUCUAAUACCUUAUAUAUUGCAGCUUUGUGUUCAACUUACACCUGAGAAGAUGCAAUAGUUAGAAUGAGCUGCAAAUGAAACCUCUGUUUCUUUAAUUUGAUACUUUGCCCUCUUUAAUAGGGUAGCAGUAGAUAGCAAUCUCUGUGCUUGACAAUUGGGCAUAUUACAUGUCACAACAGGCAAUAAUCUUACUAUAGUUUAGUUUCUUUGUAAUAAUGAAGUUCUGGGUUUCUGCUUGCUUGUAUUACAUUCAGUUUUAAAAAGUUUUCAAAUGACAUUUAUCUCCCUCUUUUUCUGUAUAUGUACAAGAUUCUCAACAGUACUGUAAUGCAUUCAUUCUUGCCUGUCAGAAAUAACACAAGCAGGCUGAUAUUCCAGACUGCCUUGGAAACUAGAUGAAAAGUGAUCUAAGUAGAAAACAAUAGUCAAGAAGCCCAAAUCUGGCCUGGAUACAACCUGAAACACUAUGUAGGAAGGAGGGAAAAUGUCCAGAUGAGAAGAUUGUGACCAAGACAGUUCAUUAAGGGUAGGAGUGAACAAAUUUGUAAAGAUCAAAGCUGCAAGUUGGUCUCCCAUCUUGCCAGAAUGCCAUGGGAGGCCACCUAGUAAUGUCAUCAGAAGGUACAGGGUUGAAUUUUUUGCUGUGUGGCAAACCAAAGCUCUUUCAUUUCCACCUAAACGCAACCCCCCCCCCCCAACUCCUAAAAAUGAGCUGGAAUGGCAGUGUAGCAAAAUGCUGAAUGUUUGUGUCAAUAUUACAGUCUACGUUUUCAGGGGUUUAAGGGUAGGAUUGGGAGCAGGAGCAGGUUGCUUUCUAGAGGCCUCUUGCUCACCCUCCCCGUUACCUGGUAAGGGAGGAGAGCAAAUUGCAUAUCGAAUUCAGCCAGUUUGUCACCAAGUUUAGUCAGUGGGGUGCUAGGAGCCUUAAAUAUCCCAAGGGGCCACAUGCCUACUCCUGAUUUACACAAACUGUGCACCUGAUUCGUACGCUCUAAUUUUUGCCCAUUUUGCACUCAAGACUGGCAUUCCAGUGCCAUCCAAAUAGGCCAUGUAAGGGGUUAUACGACUGAAAACAUCUGGAAGCCACCUGUUUAUGUAUUACCUCAGGCCUUUGUCUAGUUUGGAGGGAAUUUGAAUGUUUAGAACUGCUAGUUGAUGGCAGAUUAAAGCAUGUUUUCAACUCUACAGUAAGGGAGAAGAAAAAUCACAGUAAAAAGAGGAUUGGGAUGCUGAGUCCACAAUUUCACUGGUAAAAAUAAGGGUUGCCUUUCAAAAGUUGAUAUUAAGGACACAUGGGGAGGCUCUAGCUCCCAUAAAUCCUGGUCUUGGUUCAUGCUUGCUGGGCAUUAGAGUUUUUGUGUCUAAGGCAUCUGAAAGGAAUCAGCUAGUCUGCCACUUAACCUCUCAGGAAACAGCGCUGGGUGGCCCUUUCCCUUCUUUCCUUCUCUAUAUACUAUUGAAGGCUCUUCAUCUUCACUGUAUGUUUCAUUUAAAAGUGAGUGGCUCUUAGAAAGACAUUUCUACAGUUGCUGUGGGUGAAAUGGCAGGUUGGGCAUAAAUUGCCUUGUGCAAUAGAGACAAGAUGUAACUAGUAUUAGGAGUAAUUUUGUGGUUCUGUGGCAAUACCAAGAGGUGGGCUGGGUUGGAUUUCUCUGUUUUAUAUAUAGAGAGCAUGUGUGGGGAAUGGAAUUGCUUAAGGAAUCUUUGGCUGUCAUGUCCCUGCUCAUUUCCAGAGGCUCACCUGACAGUUACAAAUGAGUAGUUCAGUUAAAGGUAACAGAGAUGCUUCUUCUCCUUUGACUGGUGGAUUAUGGGAGUUGUAGUUAUCAUUUGGAGACCCCAAGUAGGGGAUGGCAGCCUUAGCUAAUGGGAAGAACUGCACGUGUCUCCAAGGUUCUUAUUGGAAUGAUGGAAUAUUUGUCUUAUUGAUAAAUAAUAAAGCUAUUA